CCAGGUUUCCAAAAUGCCUUUCCAGGCUAAAACCCAGGUUGUGGUCUGCUGGCCGGACACAACAGAGAUGGAACACACAUAUCUAUUCAACCCAGCUAGGGAACCCAGGACAGACCAAAUAAAAGUAUAAAUACUAAUAUUUUGUAUUUGUGUUUAUAAAUACAAGUAUAAAUACUAAUCAAAGUUCAAUUUGGUGAACCAAUGAGUUUUAUUGUAGUUACUUAUAGGAGUAUGGGUGAGCGGUUGCUUACAGGAAGAGAAAUGACUCAAAGACAACCAUAUCACCAAAGCCCACCCAGUAUGGAUGACAGCUCACAAAAGUUGGGGAACCUGGAGCACACUCAACAGCCUGUAGGCAGCUUAACAGAUUAAGAGCUUCUGGCAGCACCCCCAUCCUAUUCCAAAGAAAAUGAGGACGAAAGAAAGAAUAUCUACCUGGAGUUUGCUUCAAAUGUGGCCAUUGGUCAAAAAAGAACUGUCCCUUACCUCGACUGCUGACAGCAUGCUGUCUAAACUUGGACAAGCAGGAGAUUGGGAAACCAAUUGCCCAACUUUGCAGAGACCAGCUGUCACAGUCUGAGGACACUCAAGGUCUAGAGAGAGGACCAG